rnacentral:rRNA from 1 species
AAGGAAUAUUGGUCAAUGGGCGCAAGCCUGAACCAGCCAUGCCGCGUGCAGGAAGACGGCCCUAUGGGUUGUAAAGUGCUUUUGUCAGGGAAUAAACCCCCGCUCGUGAGCGGGGCUGAAGGUACCUGAAGCAUACGCAUCUGCUAACUCCGUGCCAGCAGCCGCGGUAAUACGGAGGAUGCAAGCGUUAUCCGGAUUCAUUGGGUUUAAAGGGUGCGCAGGCGGAUUGGUAAGUCAGGGGUGAAAUCCCACAGCUCAACUGUGGAACUGCCUUUGAUACUGUCAGUCUAGAGUAUAGUUGAAGUUGGCGGAAUGUGUCAUGUAGCGGUGAAAUGCUUAGAUAUGUCACAGAACACCGAUCGCGAAGGCAGCUAGCUAAGCUAUAUCUGACGCUCAUGCACGAAAGCGUGGGGAUCAAACA